AGUUACCUUAGUUACCACUGUUAUUUUGUUGGUAAAUAAAAAUAGUCUUAAAACGAAUCAAAGUGUGACUGUGUUUACUAGAAAAAUGACUUCGUCAGAAAAGUUUCAGGAUGCUCGUUGCAAAGCCGAGCAACAAGUAUCUGCCAAGCUGAGCUGCAAGUUCCUAGUAUUAUUACAAGAAAUUGAGCUUUGUUUACGAUGUGGAACUAUUAACUUAUGGAGUAGUUCAUGAGCGCAGUUUGGAAACAGGACCAUACGACAGCUUGCGGUCAGAAAGCAGUGGUCCUACCCCAAACGAACUAAACACUGGUCAAGCUGAAUUGCUGGAAACCAUCCAUAAAUGACACACCGACAUCAAAGUACACCUACAAAGCAUCCGAGUUUAGUAUAGUCUCUUCCUCGUCACAAUCUGGAGAACGUCGAGAACCCGGAAAUGCAAAGUGUGUUUAGAAGAUGCAAGCUAUUAAUGAAUGAUUUUUAAUAUCAAAAUAUGUUCAAAAUCAAUACAGUAUAGGUCCCACCCUUCUGACACUCCUUUACUAACUCUAGGGGAGCAGGUCGCCCCAUAAUACGGCUUCCACUCUUAUCCACCUAACAACAAGAUAAUCGGCCACGUUAAGCUAACGCAAAUGAGCCGAAUAAAAAUUUUAUUAUAAAAAAAGUACGGGUGUGUAAUGUCAGAGACAUAACUGGAUGCCGUGAAUACGAAUAAAACUGACACGAUUUGUUUACACUUUCGAAUUCGAAUUGAUAGUUGAUCGAUUGUGUGAAUUGCGAAACUUUCCCCCUUUUCACUACUAAAAUUUUCAACGAGUUUUGACGUCGAUUAUCUCAUUUCAGAUUUGCAUAUUUCAUUGAAAGAAACUAUCAAGAUGCAGGAUUCAUUUCUGACUUUUAGAAGGACCAAAUUGUGGAGUUCUCUACGAUAUUUACCACAGUUCGGAACAUUUAUCUCGAACGAUUUUCGCACAGCGAAAAGUGCACGAACCGGAUCAAAUUAUUUUGGGUUUUCACUAAACAGAUGAUUUCUACCUUCGAAUUUAAAAGAAGUAAUCUUAAUAGUUCUUUAGAUAACAUUUAGAGCCAUUAGAACGGCUGAUUUUAUAUAAUGUUGUCCACUUUUCGUUUCUUGUUUUCUUUCUCUCCAAUGCAAAGCACCAGUAGCUGAUGCAAUCGUUCUUGCUUGAAUUGAAACUAGCUUUGCGUACAAACCGACACAUCCGCUCGCAGUGCCAAAUGAUGCGGUUUUUAACCACGCAAAAGGUCUGCUUUCAUUGACGACUGCUCCACCUGACGAUUGAAGUCCAAAUGAGAGCACGACCUAAGCGUUUGAGGUUUGGCACCACGCAAAAGGUCUGCUCUCAUUAUUGACGACCGCUGCUCCCGACGAUUGAAGUCCAAAUGAAAGCACGACCUAAGGGUUUUAGACUCUAUACCACGCAAAAGGUCUGCUUUUAUUGCCGACUGCUCCACCUGACGACUGAAGUCUAAAUCAGAGUUGCGACCUGAGCGUUUGAGGUUUUUAACCACGCAGAAGGCGCACUCUCCGAAGCUGCUGGUCCCACGACGUCUGCUUGCAUCCAACGCACAAGAAGAAAUGAUCGAAUUUCGACCACGGUUCCCCUUUUAUACGCAGUCAGUUGAAGAUAUG